rnacentral:rRNA from 1 species
CCUACGGGAGGCUGCAGUGGGGAAUCUUCCGCAAUGGGCGAAAGCCUGACGGAGCAACGCCGCGUGAGUGAAGACGGCCUUCGGGUUGUAAAACUCUGUGAUUCGGGACGAAAGAUAAGCAGACGAAUAAUCUGCAUAAGUGACGGUACCGAAAAAGCAAGCCACGGCUAACUACGUGCCAGCAGCCGCGGUAAUACGUAGGUGGCAAGCGUUGUCCGGAAUUAUUGGGCGUAAAGCGCGCGCAGGCGGCUACUUAAGUCCAUCUUAAAAGUGCGGGGCUUAACCCCGUGAUGGGAUGGAAACUGAGAAGCUGGAGUGUCGGAGAGGAAAGUGGAAUUCCUAGUGUAGCGGUGAAAUGCGUAGAGAUUAGGAAGAACACCGGGGGCGAAGGCGACUUUCUGGACGACAACUGACGCUUAGGCGCGAAAGCGUGGGGAGCAAACAGGAUUAGAUACCCUUGUAGUC